CACGGUAGGAAUUGGUAGCUACUUGUUGCAUCUGUGAAACAGGCUAGAACUAAUUUUAUCUAAUUUUGGGUUUUUAAAUUGUUAUAUUCCAUCAUAAAUACAUUUAACAUUGUUUAGUCAAUCGAAUCUAAUAGUAGAACUCAUCCGCUCAUUUCUUACAUCUUAAAUACUUUUGAAAUUGGUUUCUAGAAGAUAAAUCACUUUUUAGUUAAUCGUCUAUGUAGCAUUCUUAUUUUUAGCCGAACUAAGUGUUAAGUCUGUAGAUAUCUAACUAUUUCAAAACAGAAAACUCUCUUUUUUGCUACUGGUACCAUUGAACACAUUUAUAAUUUAUUUCAAUGAAAAAAACAUCUGUAGGCUACUUGUUUUUGUGACGUGCUCAUAUUUCACCGUAAUAAGAUAAAGCAAUCAAAUUAGCAUGAAGAUUAUACCUUAUGCGCUGCUCGUGUUUGUGUUUCUUGUGAUGAUGGAUGAAAAUUCAUUGGUAGCAUCAGACACACAGGCAACAGGUAACACAGACAUUCAAUCGACACAUACUGGUGGAGGUGGAUCGUGGGGAAGAAAGAAAAGAUCUAUUGUUGAAGAAAACGACCCUGAUGAUGCCCUACCAAUUCUCGAACAUCUAGGAUGAUAGAAAUACUCAACAAUAUAGUCCUGAAAAAUAUUUCGUUUCCAUUGAUUUUUUCGACUCAUAUUUAUACUGUAUAUUAGAUAAUACGCUGACACUGCA